CAGUUCGGAUUGUAGGCUGCAACUCGCCUACAUGAAGUCGGAGUUGCUAGUAAUCGCGGAUCAGAAUGCCGCGGUGAAUGCGUUCCCGGGUCUUGUACACACCGCCCGUCACACCAUGGAAGUUGGGGGCGCCCGAAGUUGCCUAAGAAAUAAGGUACCUAAGGCGAAACCAAUCGACUGGGUGAAGUCGUAACAAGGUAAC
rnacentral:rRNA from 1 species